UGGCGAGUAGCUCAGCGGUAGAGCGCACGACUGUUAAUCGUGUGGUCCUUGGUUCGAUCCCAAGCUUGCCAGCCA
rnacentral:tRNA from 1 species